ensembl:lncRNA PLAC4 placenta enriched 4
CAGCCUAUGGAGCAGCCCUGAUCUGCAAGGAGCGGCAUCUCUGGCGCUGCUGUGCACAGCUGCUUCCAUGAAAGCUGCUGCCUAACACCACCAGCUCACCCUUGAAUCUUUGGGCAAAUCCAAGAACUCUCCCAGGCUAAGCCCCAGUCUUGGGGCUUGCCUGUCCUGCAUCAUCUGGCAACCAGCAAAGGGACAAGGACAGCGGAGAUGGUGGCAAUUGGCAGAGAGGCAAGACAGCAGAGACAGAGAGGCAGCAAUUGGUGAGAGACAAGAGACAGCAGUUGGCAAGACAGCAAGAGACGGUGAAGCAGUCUGUGAUUGAGGAUGUGGUGAAACUGAGUGGACAGCCAAGUGUCCAUAGUACAGCUGCCUCGUGUGGGACCCACUGCUCUAACGAGCCAGCCCCCGACACAGAAGCUGAGCACCCCCAAGCUGGGGAACCUAGAGAGACCUGCACCCGGGUCCCACGUGGAAGACUGGCUGGUGCCAUUUUGUCUUCUGUGGAUGGGUGAGAGUCCCCUUUGCACCCUCCCCCAGUAAUAUCAGACUGGAAAUCUCAAAAACACACGUUCAGCACCAAGAUUUUCAGCAGCACCGCCUCAGAAUGAGACCCCUAGAAAAAACUGCGUGUUUUCCACUUGCCCAACACGAGGAGUUUUUGGAACACGACCUGCUUGAGGUGGAGAUUUUCUAGAUGGGCAAAGAGAAGGAAACACUUAACCUAGGAAGAGUAUUUAGGAAGAAGAAAGAACACAGCCUUUCUGCACAGGAAACCGCCGAGCAGAGGGGCAUCUGGCCUCUGCAGUGGCCUCCAAAUAGAGUCCAAUGGCUGGGGCCAGCGUGGCUGCUUAAAGGGGACUCAAGGGAUAUAAUAAAAUGCAGAUUCUCAGGUCCUAGUGCAGACAGGCUCACCCAAUAAGUCUGGACUGCAUAUGGGAAUCUCUAUUUCUAGGCCCUUCUGCAAGGUAUUCCUGCUCUUUCCAGGAACCAUCGGCAGCUGGUUUGGGGAAA